rnacentral:other from 1 species
UGUCCCCUGCGGUGUUCGACAGAUCCAUAUAUUCUUUGAACCAAUAAGCUUUGCUUAAGGUCGCGACCCUCGAUGUUACUGUUGUGAACGUUCCCAUUGGUUGUAUUGGCGGACGUACCUGAUGUGACUGGGAAGCGGCCCUCUUGAACCCAGGUUCAAGAUGCUGGGUCAACGGCACAGGCGGGGGACUU